rnacentral:rRNA from 1 species
CCAGGCUUGAACAGCCAGUGACCACACCCGAAAGGGUGCUUCCGCAAGGACACUGGUAGAGGUGCUGCAUGGCUGUCGUCAGCUCGUGUCGUGAGAUGUUGGGUUAAGUCCCGCAACGAGCGCAACCCUUGUCUGCUGUUGCCAUCACGUUAUGGUGGGCACUCUGCAGAGACUGCCGGUGAUAAACCGGAGGAAGGUGGGGAUGACGUCAAGUCAGCAUGGCCUUUAUGUCUGGGGCUACACACGUGCUACAAUGGCAGAUACAAACCGUCGCGAGACCGUAAGGUGGAGCUAAUCGGAGAAAGUCUGUCUCAGUUCGGAUCGUAGGCUGCAACUCGCCUGCGUGAAGUUGGAAUCGCUAGUAAUCGCGGAUCAGCACGCCGCGGUGAAUACGUUCCCGGGCCUUGUACACACCGCCCGUCACAUCACGAAAGCCGGUUGUACUAGAAGUCGCCAUACCAACCCGCAAGGGAGGGAGGCGCCUAAGGUAUGGUCGGUGAUUGGGGUG